rnacentral:misc_RNA from 1 species
GAAAUGCGAUAAGUAGUGUGAAUUGCAGAAUUCAGUGAAUCAUCGAAUCUUUGAACGCACAUUGCGCCCCUUGGUAUUCCAUGGGGCAUGCCUGUUCGAGCGUCAUUUGUACCCUCAAGCUCAGCUUGGUGUUGGGUGUUUGUCCCCGUCUCCGCGCGUGGACUCGCCCCAAAGUGAUUGGCAGCCGGCGUACUGGUCCCGGAGCGCAGCACAUGUCGCGCAAACGAGUGCCUUGGUACGGCGGCGUCCAUAAGCCCCUCUCUCACGCUCUUGACCUCGGAUCAGGUAGGGAUACCCGCUGAACUUAAGC